CCUGCCCCGCCUGGUCGGGCACACUUGGGCUCAAGCUCGAGCUGGCUAAUAGACCCUCGUGCGCUUGCAUCGGUGUCGGCUCCUUGGUGGUUUCUCGGAUUCGCAAUCUUGGGCACGACAUUUAGGGGCUCGUCCGGGAUCCGAGAGACCCCAGGACCCCACCCGGAGGGUCCCACGCCUGGACCUCCCAAGAUUCUAGCCCAGCGAAAGGCCGAGAAGGCGACCGACUCUACGACCCAAGCGCCCCUUUAUCCGGUCGUGCAGGAUUCCUCCCCCAGGACCUGAUCCUCCCGCCGCCCUGCCGGAGGCGCCGGGGGCUGCAGACGGGGCGCCCCUCCCUGGCGGGUCCCGGAGCGCGGGCGGCCCCGCCCCCGACGGGCCCCGAGAGCGACCGAGGUCCUGGCCGUUCUCCAGCAGUGAUUCAUGUAAUAGAAGAACCCAAAAUGCAAAGUGCUCGGAAAACCCGAAGAUCUAGUCGGGCUUUUAGAUGCUGUUAGGAAGUAAGUCCCGGGGUCGCUGCACCCGCGCCGGCCAGCUGACCCCCGAGGCGGCCCGCCGAGGACCAUCCCCUAAAGCUAGGGCUGCGUCGCUCCCACUUACCCGCUAACAUCACCUGCGCUGUAGCCCCUCGCGGCUGAAACUAACCCCCACUCACCAAAAUCUGACGUGGAUAGUUCAUAACGCAGCCACGGGAGAAAUCUACCCCGAUCCUGCUGGCUGUGCUAUGACACCCGACCCCCCUUCUACCCUAAUGCUUGCAGGUGGAGCCAAAAUCCCGGUAGCAAAGGCCUCACCUUACAAUCUGUGUCAGGCCAGGGGCCCUGCCUAGGCCUCCAGGCCACUACCGGGUCCUGUGCGAUGGCAGGCGGCCUAUACACAGGACCGGUGUCAUUACCGCCCCAAGACAGCUGGGGCCUGCUCGAGGGAUUAACUCCCUGCACUCAGGGACAGGUUAUGAACAGAACUGGGGGCUUCUGCGUGCUGGUUCAACUACUUCCUAGAAUCAUCUGUUGUUCAGAGGAGCAGGCACUUCAAUGGAUGGACCCCCCACGGGCGAAAUAAACGAGAGCCCAUCUCUGCUGUCACCACCGCCACCCUACUAGGAAUUGGUUUGGCUGGCGCAGGAAGAGGUAUUGCCUCACUGGCCACCCAGGCUUUCCACUACAGUAACCUUGGGGCUGCCAUUGAUGUAGAAAUAGAGCAGAGAGACCUCCACUUCCCACCUCCAAGAAUCCCUAACAUCUUUAUCUGAAGUGGUGCUCCAAAACAGGAGGGGCUUAGACCUAAUUUUUCUGCAGCAAGGGGGAGUCUGCUGCCCUGGACGGAGUGCUGUUUCUGCACUGACCACUCAGGGAUGGGCAGAGAAUCCAUGGCAAAGGUCAGGGAAGGAUUGUCCAGGCAAAAAGGAGAGUGAGAGCAAGAUCAGCAACAGGAGUGGUUCGAAUCCUGGUUUGAUCAUUCCCCCUGGCUAACUACCUUGUUGUCCUCCCUAGCCGGCCCACUUAUCAUCCUCCUCCUGACCUUUGACCCUGCUUCAUUAAUAAACUAGUGGCUUUUGUCAGGGAUGGGGUUAACCCCGUUCAACUCUUGGUGCUAAGGCAACAAUACCAACCACUGAACUUUCAGGACCCAUGACUGGGUCCUGCAUUGGGUUCCUCUGAAAAGGGGAGGAAUGUGGGACCCAAGAAAUUCAGAAAAUGUCACCCACCCGGCUCCUAGAUAAGCAACAACUGCGGCUGUAGCCCAAUUCAGCUCCAAGGAAAACCGCAGAGCACACCCUUAUCGGAAUGAGGAACUAAGAACUUGAGAAACUCCCCCCACCCCUCUGGAAACCCCCUGCCUCCGCUCUGGGGCUAUCCGUUAGGGGUGUGGUCUGUGGUCAGAGGGAAGUGAAGGGCAAGCCCUUGGCGGAAGGUCCAUGGCUGGAACGAGGAACCAAGACCCCUAGAGCAGCCCAUAAAAAUCCAGCUGUAACCCACCUAGGGGUCCAAGUCCCUGCCCCACUGAUGGGCAUACUUGGACCCAAGCUCGAGCUUGCUAAUAAGCCCUCGUGUGCUUGCAUCAGUGUUGGCUCCUUGGUGGUUUCUCGGAUUCAAAAUCUUGGGCACAACAACUCCAUUCUUCUCUUCCUAAUACCCUUUCAUUGACCCCAUACAUAAAUGGAUGAUAAUACCUCUGUAUUGGUCAACUAUUUUUAUAUAACAAAUCACCCCAAACUCUACAAUUUAGAACAACUGUAGAAAAAGUCAUUUAUGAUUCCUCAUGGGUCUGUGGAUCCACACAUCUCGACUGGGCUCUCCUGGGCAGCUCUGCUUUUCUUGUGGCAGCAUUCAAUCUUGAAUACAUAUGGACUGUCAUGACCAUUUAAAAUUUGGUAUGCCCAGAAUAACCAGGAGGAAAGUUGUCUCCCUCAAAGUGUUUUGUAUGCUUUUUAUUAUUUUCUUCUUGGAAUACCUAUUUUCUCUAACUCAUUCUUCAAGAUGCAGCUCAAAUGUCAAAUAUCCUGAGAAAUUUAUUAGCCAGGCUGGGGCUCCUUCCUCUGGACUCCAGCAGCACAACAUUCAUAGUUAUAUUGCUAUUAUCUAUUGCUUAUAUAGAUAGAUGGGUAGAUAGAUCCCCUAGGCUGUGAAUUCCUUGAGGGCAAGGGCCAGAGACUUUUAACCUUAUGUCCCAGCUGUGGUGCCUAAAAUCCAGAAGGUGUCCAAUAAACUUAUAACAAACCUCUCGUA